GCUGUAUGUUUCCAGGUUCCAAAGAACACUCCACUUUCCAAGCAUUUGGUUCUGUCAUAUUUACACAUAAAAGCUGACCAUGACCACCGUAAAUGCCCCUGUGUGUCUCCUUGCUCGGAAUGAGUUUUAUCGGAGCAUCUGCCCGACAGACAAAAUGAAGGCAGUCAGUAGUCUUUCUGAUAACUUAAUGGAACCAAAGCAAAGACAAGUGACUAUCUGGGUGACCAAAUUCAAGCACCAAGGAUUAGGGCCAUGGACAAUAAAUGUGGUUUUAAAGGGCCCGGCAUCCAGAGGAACCUCUUCCAAACGACAAAGUCCUGCUGAUCGUGUGGUGAAGUAGACACCUGCACUAGAAUAGCAUAUAGAGCUCUGGAAAAAAACAACAACAAAAAAAAAAAACGCUUCUCUACAGACACAGUAUGUUAAUGUGCUGCUUAAAAGUGCUGCUCCAAUAAUUAUUCUUUUUUUUUUUUUUAGAGGCUUUUUCAUGCUAGAGAAUAUUUAUUUUUAGUUGAUUCGCUAUCUUUCAGAAGUUUGGUGUUAUUAAGUCUCUUAUGUUCACCAAGACUGCAUUUAUUUGAUCAAAAAUACAGUAAAAAUCAUAACAUUGUAAAAUAUUAUCAUAAUUUAAAAGAAGUGUAUUCUAUUUGAAUAUAUUUUCAAAUGUAAUUUAUUACUGUGAUGCAAAGCUGAAUUUUCAGCAUCAUUACACCAGUCUUUAGUGUCACAUGAUCUUUCAGAAAUAAUUCUAAUAUGCUGAUUUGCUGCUCAGGUAACAUUUAUAAUCUGUGUUGAAAACAGUUGUGCUGCUUAUUAUUUUUGUGGACACAAAGCUCAAAAGAGCAGCAUUUGUUUGAAAUGUAAUUUGUUUUUGUAACUUUAUAAAUCAGUAUUAAUUUAGAAAAAUAAAAAAAUGUGAAAAAAAUUCUUACUGACCCCAAAAUUUUGAACAGUACUGUAAUUGUACUGUAUGAAUAUCCAUAUAGCCACACACUGCAUUUAUUCUGCCUCACUUUACGCAAGGCCAGUCCCCACCACCAGUAUGAGACAAAGUACUCCUAAAAGAACAAACUGGAGAAAUUGCAGCUAACAAUAUGUUGGCUUAGCUUGCUGUUAAAAGAUCCAAACUUUUAAGAGAGCCAUCGUUUAUUUGCUUUUUUUCACGAACGUUAGAUGGACCAACCUGAUCUGUAAUAUGUGUUUUGACAUAUAAUACUGUUAGAUUUAAUUGUCAAGAUUAACUUGACAAGGCAUUGAAAGUUUUGGAAAGCUUUUACCUUUCAAAUACAUAGAAACAUUUUCUAUUGCCUACAUAGAAAAUAGCCAAUAUGGCAACUGAUUAAACUGAUUAGUCAAUUACAGAUUUUCACACCCCUCAAUUCUACCCAUAAAAAGUACAUUCAAUUUCUUUUCAUCGUCAAUAAACUACCAAUCACAUCACUUGUCACAGUCUCUUAGUUGGGAACUGUCGCUACAAACAAAGGGGAAGUGAUGUCGGGAAAAAGAACAGAGUCAGCAUGCCACAAAGAGGCUUUUUCAUGUAUCCAGCCAACCAUCAGAACUUAGUGACCUGGAAAAUCCAUGUCCACAGGGGAACAAAGCUGUACAACGUCAUCUCUAGCGAGCAAUUUUCCAUAUGGACUGUUUCCCAUAUUCACUGUUUCUGUGUUUGGUCUACCACCCACACUGCUUAUUUUGAAGAUGUUCUGUCCUUUUUGGUUUACACCAAAAGUAUGAAAUAGGUGUCAUCUGUUCAGAACACAAUGCAUUAAUUUUGCAAAAUGCCUGUAAAAUUGUUUAUUCUUCUCAA